GGAAAGCUCACGGUGCAUUGCUGCAGCGUUGGCUGGUUCUUGGUUCUCAGUCUGCUGGAGAUCCUGGAUUAUUGCUGCCUGCUUAAGGUGAAAUUGGCAGGAGGAAAUUGAGAACAUGCCUCUCCAUCCCUGCAAGGGAGUUACAUACCAGCCGGUCCCAUGUUUCCAGUUAAAGUUUCUCACCAUCAAUGAAGGAGUGGGAAGAGAAAGGGUUCCCUAACAUGAGACUCCAUUCAGACGAGGAUCUAGAAACUUUAUACGUAUUUCUACAUAAAUGAAAAUCUGCUAAGUUCCACUGUUGGAAGGGAGAGGUCUUGAAGCCAGUCAGAUUUCCAUUAGUGUUACCAGGACUGCAUUGAACUGAAGAUAUAAAAAAACCCUACAUCUUUUCCUAUCACCAUCUGUGCAACAUCCAAGUGAAGUACACUCCAAACUGAUCUUUUCUUCAUUUUUCACUCCUUGCCCUCAAAAAAGCAAAACAAAACAACAGUAACAACAACAAAGCAACAUAAAACAUGACAAAGAAAUCUGAGUUUUACCACUUCUGAAAAAAACAAGUGGUAUGCACUAAGAAAGAUGUCACCGAAGCUGCUGAGAAGUGUGUAAGAUGGGAAUGCGUCCCACUCAGUCUGGCAGAGUGAAACCAAAGUAGAAUUUAGAAUCUCCUACAAAAAUAACUCUUGCUGGCUCUGUAUGUUGAAGUGUGAGGAAGCUAGUGAGAAAGUGACAUUUUCCCCUAGGCUGUAGAGAAGCAGCAGCUAUUCUGGGAGAAACGCAGUAUCUUUCACAGCUGAUGUGCACCUCUUGACAGCAUGAAGAGCAGCUAGAUCAGCAUUGCCAAGGAUGCAAUCGAUGUGACGCCUGGCCACAGCCCUGACACUCUUUUCUCUUAGUUAAAAAAUAGCAUUAUUGUGUGAAGAACCUGCAUGUUCCAUGUGUGUGUUCCUAGUAUCCAGUGUGUUCCUUCAGCCUCCAGAGUAGCACUGCCCUCAAUUUUAAGACAGACUCCCUCUUCUGGGGCCCUGGGACAGGGAUGAGAAGAGGAUUUAUCAAUUCAGGUGCUAGUAAGGUUACUGCUGAUGCUGAUGCUAGUAAGAAUGGUUUAUGUUGCUGACACACUGGACUACGUGUGGGAGAACUGAAGACACAAAAUGGAACAAAUUACCUUAUAAGACACCCAAAGCUAGAUACUGAUGGCCUGAUUUUUGGACCUAAGUGGAAUACAGAAAUAAUUUUCUGAAGAUAUGCUGGAGACAGAACACUGCGCCCUUCUUGAUUGUCUCCAAAAAAGUACCCUAGAAACUAUGAAGUAAGGAAAAAGCAAGUUUUGGGGAAACGUGCAGGGAGAGCCAGAGCAGUUUGAGUGUGCCCUGGUUAGGUAAGCUUUAGCUCACCUGCCACCUGUGUAGUCUGGAGAGCCUCAGAGCCAACAAACCAAUUCAGUCUGCCCAACGCAGCCACCUAAGGCUUGGUUCAAUGGCCAUAUAAAGGAAACUCAACCCAAGAACAUGUAAGAAAAAAAAAGGUUAAGGGCUAGGUUAGGGUUAGGAUUCCUUGUGACCAGGACUCUGAGAUGACUCACCUAGUCUCCAGAGGAGACAGGACCAAUAUCAUCAAUGCCAUCCUGUGCAGAUGUCCCAAGGGUAUCUUAAACAGAUAUAUGUGAUUAGGCAACCGAAUAGGAGUUUGAUUCAGUAUUGGUCUUGGUCAUGCACCACAAAAGACCCUUGCACAGCUAAUGUUAUCUUUGGAGGGGCGGCACUAUUAAGAGCACAAGCUUAGCAUGUUUACAAAAACUAACACAAUAAAAUCCCUUUGGACUCCACCUCACAGUUGGAUGGAGUGGAGAAAGCCUGAAAACCAGACGGCUUUCAGACCCAGGAGACCUCAAGAUCUUGACCUUAGUACUCUCUGCCACAGGUGCUAUCUGUCUUCCAGUCAAGCAUCUGACAGAGGGGAAAAAAUGAUCCCCAACCAUUUGCUCCGCAGAAAAAAUUAGGACAAGACUAACAUUACCAUAGGUUCCUUUCGAAGAGUGAGGGGUUGUAAGGGCAAAGUUUGAAGUUAAUCAUCUUUAAAAUUAUAUUUACAUGUCUUUUUGGGAAGGUUUUAUCUCUCUGGAAGAUUUGUACAAGUCUGAUUACUCUCGUCAUCUCUGAUUAGAAUGUUUCCCCAGUUUCAAAUCAACCUGUUGUAACAAGGGCUCAGAAGCUUAUAAGAAAACAGUAAAAUGAAAUUAAUUUUAUCUUGAUGCAAAGACUUGUGAAUAAGUCUAACAGAACUGUGACAACUCUUUAGCCUAAUUCAUUAGGUAUUGCUAGCUAUUAACAUUUGCAACUGCAGGAUGUAACAUACAUAUGUACACAAUUUCCAGAGGUCGAUAUAUAGUAUAUGAGUAAUUACAAUGUAAACUCAAAUUAUGCAGCAGCCUUCCUAGCUCCCCCCUGAUAUGUUAAGAAAAAUAUUACUAAAUAUGUAUGUACUACACUGUAACUUUAUCAUCAUUGAACAUCAUGGCUGGACUAAAAUCAAAACUUAGAAUUAAGGCAUAUUUUUUUAAAAAAUAUGUGCAUUUCAAAGGUUUAGUCUAUGUUCUGAAAUAUUGUCUUUUUUCCAUGAUCAUUAAAAUACUUCCUGGAGCUCAUUUCACACAGCUCACAGUUCUGUAGAUUAUGUUCUGGUUUUGUUUAAGCAUAAAUUCCCAGUCUAUAGAGUGAAAUCUUAUAAUCUGUCUCAGUAAAAUCUCUUUUUCUAGCUUGAGUACUCAUGAGUCAAUCAAGAAGGAUUUGGUAAUUC